GAAAUGCGAUAAGUAAUGUGAAUUGCAGAAUUCAGUGAAUCAUCGAAUCUUUGAACGCACAUUGCGCCCGCCAGCACUCUGGCGGGCAUGCCUGUUCGAGCGUCAUUUCAACCCUCAGAACCCCUUGCGGGAUCUGGCGUUGGGGAUUGGCAUCCAGCCAGCCCCGAAAUCUAGUGGCGGUCCCUCCGCGACCUCCCCUGUGCAGUAGCGAUACCUCGCAGCGGGACAGCGGUCUGACCACGCCGUAAAACCCCCAACUUCUCAAGGUUGACCUCGAAUCAGGGAGGAAUACCCGCUGAACAUAAGC
rnacentral:misc_RNA from 1 species